rnacentral:rRNA from 1 species
GAUGAACGCUGGCGGCGUGCCUAACACAUGCAAGUCGAGCGAUCUUCUUCGGAAGAGAGCGGCGGACGGGUGAGUAACGCGUGGGUAACCUGCCCUGUACACACGGAUAACAUACCGAAAGGUAUGCUAAUACGAGAUAAUAUGCUUUUAUCGCAUGGUAGAAGUAUCAAAGCUCCGGCGGUACAGGAUGGACCCGCGUCUGAUUAGCUAGCUGGUAAGGUACGGCUUACCAAGGCGACGAUCAGUAGCCGACCUGAGAGGGUGAUCGGCCACAUUGGAACUGAGACACGGUCCAAACUCCUACGGGAGGCAGCAGUGGGGAAUAUUGCACAAUGGGCGAAAGCCUGAUGCAGCAACGCCGCGUGAGCGAUGAAGGCCU